rnacentral:sRNA from 1 species
AGCCCCAGGCAAAAAUUAUUCAGUCUACAAUAUUUAUCACACGGAACGGUAACAAAACUCCCAAAAAAAACCAGAGACAAAAUGGAAUAAACAAUUUUGUUUUAAAUUUCUAAAUUAAAAACUAAAAACUUUUAUUAAACUUUUGAUGUUGCUGCCUUUGAAUCAAAUUGAUGCUCUGCUUAGUGUACCACGAGAAGCCCAUUCCACAUGAAACCUAUCUGCUCUGGGCUGGCCAAUUUUUGGUGACAUCUUCCUGGUAAGGAGUUCUUCGCUUUAGAGUCGGCUCAUGGCUCUAAAGAAACUCUCGCUGAUCUGGGGGAGCGUCUGCGAGCGGCCCCAGGUGAGCUUCCAAUGUCAAUGCCUAUGAUGCGAAUAGACUGGCCAACGGAGUUCCAUGAUGCUGUAUUGAAAUACUAGUCGGACCAGAACAGAGUGAAUUCUAUAACUAAAGACCUUCAAUCCUGAGAUGAAAUGAUGAAUCAUUUGCGUGUACUUCCCAAGGAUAGUAUCCCUCUUCAGUUUAGAUGCUGUCUGGUUUCUGUACUAUACGUGUCUAAAAAUAUCAGAACAUUUCGAGAAGAUUUGGCAGUUCCUAAAGAUCUUCAAGAAGAACCCUAUUGCCCUGUAGCGCCUUCUGGCCAUGCGGAAAUUUUUCCUGUGGCUUUAGUUAUUUUGGAAUCAUUCUACAUAAAUAUAUGUUUAUAAUUUAUA